GGGGCCAUAGCUCAGUUGGUAGAGCGCUUGCAUGGCAUGCAAGAGGUCGUCGGUUCGAUUCCGUCUGGCUCCACCA
rnacentral:tRNA from 2 species